rnacentral:tRNA from 1 species
UAUAUUAAAGUGUAUGAUGCACAAUAGUUUUUGAAACUGAUUGAGAUAGUUUAAAUCUAUCUAAUAUAA